AACGUGUGGUCUGUGAUGUGUUUCUGUGUCCGAUCAAAACAUGAGUGUCACAGUAUUCGUCACUACCACUGAGACCAAUAUGUU
rnacentral:snoRNA from 14 species